rnacentral:rRNA from 1 species
AUUGAACACUGGCGGCAUGCCUUACACAUGCAAGUCGAACGGUAACAGGUCUUCGGAUGCUGACGAAUGGCGAACGGGUGAGUAAUACAUCGGAACGUGCCUAGUAGUGGGGGAUAACUACUCGAAAGAGUGGCUAAUACCGCAUGAGAUCUACGGAUGAAAGCAGGGGAUCGCAAGACCUUGUGCUACUAGAGCGGCCGAUGGCAGAUUAGGUAGUUGGUGGGAUAAAAGCUUACCAAGCCGACGAUCUGUAGCUGGUCUGAGAGGACGAUCAGCCACACUGGGACUGGGACACGGCCCAGACUCCUACGGGAGGCAGCAGUGGGGAAUUUUGGACAAUGGGCGCAAGCCUGAUCCAGCAAUGCCGCGUGCAGGAUGAAGGCCUUCGGGUUGUAAACUGCUUUUGUACGGAACGAAAAGCCCCGGGUUAAUACCCUGGGGUCAUGACGGUACCGUAAGAAUAAGCACCGGCUAACUACGUGCCAGCAGCCGCGGUAA